UUCCUUCCGGGGCGGGACUUCCUGGUCAUUAUUGAUAGAUGCCGGACUGCAGAGCUGGUGGGAGGAGCACACAGAAGGCUCCGCCCCCAGCGUCCCGUGGCCAUGACGACCGCCCAGCGGGACUCUCUAGUGUGGAGGCUCGCGGGGCUGCUGCGUGAUUCCGGUGACGUAGUCUUGUCCGGCUGUUCCACCCUGAGCUUGUUGACCACCACCCUGCAACAGCUGAACCAUGUAUUCGAGCUGCAUCUGGGGCCAUGGGGCCCUGGCCAGACAGGCUUUGUGGCUCUGCCCUCUCACCCCGCCGACUCCCCUGUCAUCCUCCAGCUUCAGUUCCUCUUUGAUGUGCUGCAGAAAACUCUUUCCCUUAAGCUGGUCCACAUCCCUGGUUCUUCCCUCCCUGGGCCCAUCAAGAUUUUUCCCUUCAAGUCCCUUCGGCAGCUGGAGCUCCGAGGUGUUCCUCUUCAUUGCCUCCGUGGCCUCUGUGGCAUCUACUCCCAGCUAGAGACCCUGAUUUGCAGCAGGAGCAUCCAGGCCCUGGAGGAGCUCCUCUCCGCCUGCGGUGGUGACCUGUGCUCUGCCCUGCCCUGGUUGGCUCUGCUGUCUGCCAACUUCAGCUACAAUGCACUGACUUCCUUAGACAGCUCCCUGCGUCUCUUGUCAGCUCUGCGCUUCCUGAAUCUGAGCCACAAUCAAGUCCAGGACUGCGAGGGCUUCCUGAUGGACUUGUCUGAGCUCUACCACCUGGACAUCUCCUAUAACCACCUGCAUUUGGUGCCAAGAAUGGGACCCUCGAGUGCUGCCCUGGGGACCCUGAUACUGAGAGGCAAUGAGCUCCGGAGCCUGCAGGGCCUGGAGCAGCUGAGGAGCUUGCGGCACCUGGAUGUGGCGUACAACCUUCUGGAAGGCCACAGGGAGCUGACGCCUCUGUGGCUGCUGGCUGAGCUCCGCAAGCUCUACCUGGAGGGGAACCCUCUGUGGUUCCACCCCGCACAUCGAGCGGCCACUGCCCAGUACUUGUCACCCCGCGCCAGGGACGCUGCGGCCGGCUUCCUUCUUGAUGGGAAAGUCUUGUCAUUGACUGACUUGCAGACCUCUACCUCUUCGGGGCUUGGCUCCUCUGCCCCACCUGUGCCCUGGUCAGCGGGGAGUACUGUUGAAACCUCAGGUGGCCCUGACUUGAGUGACAGCAUCUCCUCAGGGGGUGUGGUAGCCCAGCAUCUGCCCCGGAAGGUUAAGAGCCGAGUCCGUGUGAGGCGAGCAAGCAUCUCAGAACCCAGUGAUACCGACCCAGAGCCCCGGACUCUGGACCCCUCCCCGGCUGGGCGGUUUGUGCAGCAGCAUCGGGAACUCGAACUCAUGAACAGCUUCCGGGAACGGUUUGGCUGUGACUGGCUGCAGUAUAGGAAUCACCUGGAGACCUCCGGUACCCCUGUUCUGGCUACCCCCAGCACCCCUGCCCUCAGCACACUGCCCCUGAGCCCAGGGUCUGUGCCUGGCCCUCCGCCCCCAGAGAAGGAGUCACCGCAGGGAAUGGCAGAAGUCAGUUUCCUGCCGGAGCCCCGGGAGGAAGAAGAGGUGGAGGAGCAGGAAAAAGAGGAAGAAGGAGAGGAGGAAGAGGAGGAGCAGGAGGAGGGCGAAGUGGAAGCCGAACUGUGUCGCCCCAUGUUGGUGUGUCCCCUGGAGGGGCCCCAGGGCGUGCGCGGUAGGGAGUGCUUUCUCCGGGUCACUUCCGGCCACCUGUUUGAGGUGGAGCUCCAAGCUGCUCGGACCCUGGCUCGGCUGGAGCUCCAGAGCCUAGAGGCAGCUGAGGUGGAGCCCGAGAGUGAGGCAGCACUCGAGGGCUCAGAUCUGCUCCCCAGGGCCCCUGUCCUUGCUCUGCGUUUCUCCUACAUUUGCCGUGACCGGCAGCUGCGUCGCUAUGUGGUGCUAGAGCCCGAUGCCCAUGCAGCUCUCCAGGAGCUGCUUGCCGUGCUGACCCCAGCAGCCACCGCGGCUCAGCGUGAGCUUGGGGAAGUGAGAGACCUGCUGGGGGGCAGACUCCAGUGUCUACGCUGUGGCCAUGAGUUCAAGCCAGAGGAGCCCAGGUUGUUAGACAGUGAGGAAGGCUGGAGGCCUCUGUUCCAAAAGACAGAAUCCCCUGCCGUGUGUCCAAACUGUGGUAGUGAUCAUGUGGUUCUCCUGGCUCGGUCCCUGGGAACCAGUGACAGGGAGCACAGACAAGAUGAACGAUCACCAGCUACCUUGCAGACGGCCAGCCCUGUCUGUGACUCUCCUGACCACAGUGACCACAGCAGCAGGGCUGACGGGACCCCGUCGCAAGCGCCGGUCUCCCGGGAGCGCCACAGUUGGAGCCUCAGUCCCCCCCCUGAGCGCCGUGGCCUCCGCUCUGUGGACCACCGACUCCGGCUCUUCCUAGAUGUUGAGGUGUUCGCCGAUGCCCAGGAGGAGUUCCAGUGCUGCCUCAAGGUGCCACUGGUGUUGGCAGGCCACGCUGGGGAGUCUGUGUGUCUUGUGGUGGUGUCUGACCUCAGGCUCUAUGUGUUGAAGGUGACUGGGGAGAUAUGCGGGCCUCCAGCUAGCUGGCUGCAGCCAGCCCUGGCCGUUCCCCUGCAUGACCUAAGCGGCAUCGAGCUGGGGCUGGCAGGACAGAGUCUGCGGCUGGAGUGGGCUGCUGGGGCAGGUAGCUGUGUCCUGCUGCCCCGAGAUGCCAAGCGUUGCCGGGCCUUUCUAGAUGAACUCACUGAUGUCUUACAGGCUCUGCCCCCUAGCUGGAGGAGCAGUGUCCGUGCCACGGAGGAGGAGGUGACCCCGAAGCACCGCCUCUGGCCGUUGCUGGAGAGAGACCCUUCCUCGGAGCCUCCCCUGUUCUUCUACCUUCGGGUGUUCCUGGUGGAAGGCCCUGCCACCUGCCCAGUGUCCCUGUUGAUGACUCUGUCCACCCUGUACUUGUUAGAAGAAGACCUUGCAGGCUCCCUGGUGGAGCCCGCUCUUCCAGCAGCAUCUGGUGAAGCCUCUGAGACAUCCCUGCCCUUGGGGCCGGGCCCCUCUGUGCGUGUCAGGGAGCAGUGGCCCCUCAGCAGCUUGAGCUCCGUGCUGCUCUAUCGCAGUGCCCCAGGGGACCUGCGGCUGGUCUUCUACGAUGAGGUGUCCCGGCUGGAGAGUUUUUGGGCCCUUCGUGUUGUGUGUCCAGAGCAGCUGACGGCCCUGCUGGCCUGGAUCCGGGAGCCCUGGGAGGAGCUGUUUUCCAUCGGACUCCGGACAGUGACCCAAGAGACUCUGGAUCUCGAUCGGUGAGGCUUCCCUGCCAAGCCCGCCCCGGCCUUGGAGCUAUGGCUGCUGAAGCUCUCUGUCCCGAGUCUGGCUGCCAACUUCUCCAGCCGUGGACGCUCGUCAGUGAGGCCCCAGAUGGCCCACGGCUCAAGACGCGAUGCCAUGGGGAGUGUUUCCGUGUGUCACUCAGGUGGUCUGCUCUUCUCCGCUUCUCACAGAAACCGCCCUGCCCACAGCUGUCCCUCAGUGGAUAGCCCAAGCCUUAUCAGUCCCGUGAGCCCGUGAGCCCCCUCUGCCCCAGGCGAUGGGAGCAAGUGGGAUCCCUGAACCGUGGGCGCCAGGCCUCAGCCAGCCAUGCCUGUUACGGGGACCUGACGUGGGAAUCACUGCGGAACAAAUGGCUGGGCCAGCUGGGUUCUCGCUUUCUCAUUCCAGCGGGGCCCUAGUGAGGAUCUCUGCUGCUGGCAGUGGGCGCUCAGUAUGGGGGGCUGUCUGCGGAGUAGGUAUGUAGACUUGGGGCUGUGGAGGGAGUAGUCGCCUCCUCUCAGCCCUGCCUCGUGCAUCCCAGAGGCCUGGUCGGGUAGACCCCAUGCUGUCACCUCUGUCCCUGUUGCCACAGUGAUCCAUUCAGGGGUUGUCACGUGACUCAAUUUGGUUGCUGGAGCACCCACGAGAGAGGUAUACUUUCCCUGUGAGGGGUGCUGAGAGGGUGAGCCCAGAGCUGCCAGCCUUCUCCUGAGAGCGGAGCCAUGCAGGGAGAGGCAGAGCCGAGAUCGGGGCACACAGGCCAGGUCCUGGAGGUGUGUUUGGAGUUCUUGGAUCCAGCUGUGCCUGCGGGCAGGUGCCCCUGGGACUUCAGGUUAUAUGAACUAAAGGAGACCCCCCCCCUCCUGUUUCUCUUCCUUCUCUCUCUUUUGUUGGCCUAGGCUAAUUAAAUCAAAUAAUACGCCACAGAAAGGGUCCUAACUGCAUAAAUCCCCACUCUGACAUGAGCUGGCCUGACUUGGGGUUUCAUUUUUGCUCUUGAAAAUGAAUGUAGCAGGAGUGGUGUCCACAUGUUUGUGUAGAGAGGCCGAGAGGAAGGCUUGGGCAAGGAGCCUUGGAGGCUCGUCAGGCCACCCUUGUAUGCGGAGGGUGGGCUCUGUUCGAGUCUGCUGGGUGGUUUUGGAGAGGCUCUUCUCUACUGAGCACUUAAUACGGAGGCCGCUGAGCCAGGUGCCUAGUGAUGGUCUCUGCUACUUAUGGGGGCUCCUGGGAAAGGGUGACAUCUUGUUACAGGAAAUAGGCUUAGAGGAGUUAAACAACGCGUUCAAGGUCACAUCAGUGAAGGGAGGAGCCCUGCUGUGUUCAGGCUCAUGUGACUUCACAGCUAGGGCAGUCUACAAACCACGGAGCCUCCCUGCCUCCCCUCUGCUCUCUAGGCCCAGUCCCACUCAUAGAGAGGGAGCCCGGCCCACUCAGCCCUGCACAAUCCUCCACUUGUCCAGGACGGGCAAACCGGGUGGACUGUACGUAUCUGAAGCAGUGAGAUGUUAGGUGAUGUAUUCAUUCAUGGGUGAUUUUCACCCCUUCCUGCUGAACUGUAGAGAAAAAGAUGCCAACCUUCAGGCGUUAAGUUGGAGAGCCAAGCAGUAGGAAGAGGUUUGAAAGGGACCACAGAAGGAUAUCAAGAGCUCUGCAACGGGAGAGAGGGGAGAGUUUUUAGAGGAGGGCAUUAGGAGCAGUGUAGGAACAAUUCCCCUUUACCCUGGGGCUCUCAGGGUGGACGGGCCCUGGGCCUAGCUCCGUGUUUGGAAUUACAGAGGACAGCGACCUGUCAGGUGCUCCCUACGCCACCAGAGCACAUGGAGGCAGCAUUUUGGAGGCACUUGGCAGGUUAGUUGCCAGAUUUCUCCUGAAUGGAGAAGGGAGGGGGUCCAGAGGAUCCUGUGGGUGACUGGGGUGUGUGACUGGGGUGCAGGGAAGUCAGGGGAGAGCAGGCAGAGAGCUUGCCAGCCGGUUGUUGCAGGAACGCAGCAGGAGGAUGGUGUAAGCCCAGCCCCCAAUGGGAAUGUGAGCAAGUUAGACUGGAAUGGAUGGAAUUGAAAUCACCGAUGAGGCUGAGUUGACUUAAAUGAUAUUGGAUCAACUUCUCUGUUGGUUGGAAAUGAGGGCUCCGUUACAAAGAUAAAGUUACCAAGAAAAAGGUCAUUUUUGCAUACCUCAGUUUAGAGGACUGCCCUAUCUCUAAGGUUUCUGUCUAUUACCAUUGCAAGGUCAACAUAGGAGGGUCUGGAAGGUGUGGGCCUAGAGAACAGGAGAGGGUAUGGUUUCCUUUACCAUAGGAAAGGGGGUUGCUCCUUUCUCCCCCACUAGAAGGCCUUUGACUUCGGGUUCAUGGGGAGGGAUGUGCUCUGAAAACUUGGUCAGGCCUCACUGAAAGCUGUUUUGGGGAAGUCCAAGGUGGAGCCUGGGGUUGGGGUGUUUUGUAGGCUAGAGAAGACUGGGUUGGGCUCCUGGGGCCCAAUUCCACCCUUGACCCAGCCAGCCCUGUGCAAACCCUGGGGCCCCAGAAGACGGAAUUGUUGGGGAACUAAUCAGUGCACCAGAGGACACUCAGCCUCCUGCCCUGCAAGAGCAAAAGUACAGUGGAGAAGCCCCUGGGUCCUGAGGAGGGGAAGGAAAUGUGGGACCCUAGGAGGUAGAAGCCUUCGAUAUUGGUUAGAGCUCACUCCUUAGUUCUGCUUAC